UGGGGAAUAUUGCACAAUGGGCGCAAGCCUGAUGCAGCGACGCCGCGUGAGGGAUGACGGCCUUCGGGUUGUAAACCUCUUUCAGCAGGGAAGAAGCGCAAGUGACGGUACCUGCAGAAGAAGCGCCGGCUAACUACGUGCCAGCAGCCGCGGUAAUACGUAGGGCGCAAGCGUUGUCCGGAAUUAUUGGGCGUAAAGCGCGUGUAGGCGGUCUUUUAAGUCUGAUGUGAAAGCCCCGGGCUCAACCUGGGAAGUGCAUUGGAAACUGGGAGGCUUGAGUACGGGAGAGGAGAGUGGAAUUCCUAGUGUAGGAGUGAAAUCCGUAGAUAUUAGGAGGAACACCGGUGGCGAAGGCGGCUCUCUGGACCGAUACUGACGCUGAGACGCGAAAGCGUGGGUAGCAAACA
rnacentral:rRNA from 1 species